rnacentral:rRNA from 1 species
UGGGGAAUUUUGGACAAUGGGCGAAAGCCUGAUCCAGCAAUGCCGCGUGUGUGAAGAAGGCCUUCGGGUUGUAAAGCACUUUUGUCCGGAAAGAAGUCCUUGGCUCUAAUACAGUCGGGGGAUGACGGUACCGGAAGAAUAAGCACCGGCUAACUACGUGCCAGCAGCCGCGGUAAUACGUAGGGUGCAAGCGUUAAUCGGAAUUACUGGGCGUAAAGCGUGCGCAGGCGGUUUGCUAAGACCGAUGUGAAAUCCCCGGGCUCAACCUGGGAACUGCAUUGGUGACUGGCAGGCUAGAGUAUGGCAGAGGGGGGUAGAAUUCCACGUGUAGCAGUGAAAUGCGUAGAGAUGUGGAGGAAUACCGAUGGCGAAGGCAGCCCCCUGGGCCAAAUACUGACGCUCAUGCACGAAAGCGUGGGGAGCAAAACAGGAUUAGAUACCCUGGUAGUCCACGCCCUAAAACGAUGUCAACUAGUUGUUGGGGAUUCAUUUCCUUAGUAACGUAGCUAACGCGUGAAGUUGACCGCCUGGGGAGUACGGUCGCAAGAUUAAAACUUAAAUGAAUUGACGGGGUCAUAGCUGUUUCCU